rnacentral:rRNA from 1 species
GAACCCUACGGGGCGCAGCAGUGAGGAAUAUUGGUCAAUGGACGAGAGUCUGAACCAGCCAAGUAGCGUGAAGGAUGACUGCCCUAUGGGUUGUAAACUUCUUUUAUAUGGGAAUAAAGUUUUCCACGUGUGGAAUUUUGUAUGUACCAUAUGAAUAAGGAUCGGCUAACUCCGUGCCAGCAGCCGCGGUAAUACGGAGGAUCCGAGCGUUAUCCGGAAUGAUUGGGCGUAAAGGGUGCGUAGGCGGCCUGCUAAGUCUGGAGUGAAAGGUACCGGCUCAACCGGUACAGGCUCUGGAAACUGGG